UGCUUAGGAAUCUGCCUAUUAGUGGGGGACAACAUUCCGAAAGGAAUGCUAAUACCGCAUACGUCCUACGGGAGAAAGCAGGGGACCUUCGGGCCUUGCGCUAAUAGAUGAGCCUAAGUCGGAUUAGCUAGUUGGUGGGGUAAAGGCCUACCAAGGCGACGAUCUGUAGCGGGUCUGAGAGGAUGAUCCGCCACACUGGGACUGAGACACGGCCCAGACUCCUACGGGAGGCAGCAGUGGGGAAUAUUGGACAAUGGGGGGAACCCUGAUCCAGCCAUGCCGCGUGUGUGAAGAAGGCCUUUUGGUUGUAAAGCACUUUAAGCGAGGAGGAGGCUACUAGUAUUAAUACUUCUAGGAUAGUGGACGUUACUCGCAGAAUAAGCACCGGCUAACUCUGUGCCAGCAGCCGCGGUAAUACAGAGGGUGCGAGCGUUAAUCGGAUUUACUGGGCGUAAAGCGUGCGUAGGCGGCCAUUUAAGUCAAAUGUGAAAUCCCCGAGCUUAACUUGGGAAUUGCAUUCGAUACUGGAUGGCUAGAGUAUGGGAGAGGAUGGUAGAAUUCCAGGUGUAGCGGUGAAAUGCGUAGAGAUCUGGAGGAAUACCGAUGGCGAAGGCAGCCAUCUGGCCUAAUACUGACGCUGAGGUACGAAAGCAUGGGGAGCAAACAGGAUUAGAUACCCUGGUAGUCCAUGCCGUAAACGAUGUCUACUAGCCGUUGGGGCCUUGAGGCUUUAGUGGCGCAGCUACGCGAUAGUAGACCGCCUGGGGAGUACGGUCGCAAGACUAAAACUCAAAUGAAUUGACGGGGGCCCGCACAAGCG
rnacentral:rRNA from 1 species